UACGAAGGUGGCAAGCGUUGUUCGGAUUUACUGGGCGUAAAGGGAGCGUAGGUGGUGCGGUAAGCCCUCCGGGAAAGCUUCAGGCUUAACCUGAAAGGUCGGGGGGACUGCCACGCUAGAGGACGGGAGAGGAGCGCGGAAUUCCCGGUGUAGCGGUGAAAUGCGUAGAGAUCGGAAAGAACACCAACGGCGAAAGCACUCUGCUGGGCCGACACUGACACUGAGAGACGAAAGCUAGGGGAGCGAAUGGG
rnacentral:rRNA from 1 species